CAAUGUCUAUGUUCAGUAACUAAUCUUGGACCGAUAUCUAACAUACUCUUUGCUGGUUUGCUUUUGUUCAUUGAUUCAAUGUUUUGUUUGGUACUAUUCCUGUGAGGAUUCUACUGUUAGAACAAUUUUAUCACUAUCAGUGUGUUUUUUUCCUUGUUCCUUUUUAAAAUAUGGCUGAUGGAAAGGCAGUGAAUUCAAAAAUUAAUUUUGACAAUCCCUCUCUGCAAAUUAGUCAUGUGAAGCUUGAUGGAGCCAACUA
rnacentral:misc_RNA from 1 species